GCGAUGGCUGGGGGGGGGGUGUGUGAGGCGCGGGACAGACCAACCAGGAAGUAUUUUACAGCUAAAUGGAGAUCUCCGUGGGUUGAUGUAGCUCUGCCCCCUGACUUUUAGCACUACUGACUAAACAGCUUUUCCUAAGAACAUCCUAUCAAAUGGAACUACACAAUAUUUACCUUUCAGUAUCUAGUUUCUUUGCUUCCACCUGUCAUCAGCCAUGUUGUUACUGCUAUCAUGUUCAUCACUGUGUCAGAGAUUUUCCAGUGAGCAUGUACUAGUUUUCCAUCACGUGUUAAUAGGUUGUUGUGUUGUUUUGGUUCGGGGCUGCUAUGAGUAACGUGGAUGUCCUCUGGCCAGCAUUCCCUUAGGUAGCUCCCAGGAAUAUACUGCUGAGUUUUAUAGCUGGUCUAUAUUUAGUUUUGUGAAAAACUACAAGAUCCUUUCCAUAUUACAAUCUUACCUACGUUGCUACAGAUGGCUGGGUAAGCUGCAAUGGGCAUUUUGUCAUUAGUGGCAGUGACUGGCUCUUGAACCUUUUCCCAGCCUGCCAGGCCAUUUAUAUAUCCACUUAAUGAACACUUUCCCCUGGUUUUUUUGCCCACAGAUUGUUCCUUUGACUUCUUCCAAUUAUUUUUAUUGCUUGGUUCGGGGCCAGACAUAGUAUUGAGAGAAUCUUUUCUGAGCAAAUAAUUUCCUUUCCUUAACAAGUGUGUGUUGUUACCACAGCAUUUGUAAACAAAAGAAGGUGGAGGUGGGUCAUUAUAUGCAAAGUGACUGAGAGGGAUCCUGCAAUCAGAGAGGGCUGUGAGCUCAGCUGAGUCAGGCCUGGAGGCCAUGGUGAACUGGGAAGAUAAAACCUGUGAGUCUCAGGUGACUUCACUUCCAAAGAAUGUCUGUACGCCCUAUAGAAAUCCCUUCUGGAAGCCAGGGAUCCUGCUGGUCUGUAAUCCUAGGACUUGGGAGGGGAAUCUCAGCUACAUCCUCAUAUGAAACCCUGCCCACCCAAACCAAAUCCACAAAGUCCUUUCUGGAAAACAGAAGAACAAUGUGAGCGAUGAAAACAUUUGCUGGAGGCACUGAGUCACUCGGUGCUGGAAGCUUCCCUGUGGCUGUGCCUGCUUAAGUCUCACAAGGACCAGAGGAUGGGCCAGCCAGUGGAUCUGACUUGUUUGGGUGCUCUUGAAUCCACUGAGCAUCUCCUGAGGAGCAGGCACUGUUGUGGGGACACAAAUGAGCAAAGCAGAUGACGUUCCCUGUGCCUUUGGUAUUGCCCCACGGGAAUGCACUUGACGGAUGGAGUUAAUGCUCCUAGAUCCACCUGCUUCUGGGAUCAUGUGUUCCUGGAGGCAAACUGGCUUCAGAUAGGGUGGCCAUGACAGCUUCAGCUGAGAUGGAGUCUUUUUAAAGAGGGCUCAAAAGAAGAAAGGGGUGAGCGAGUUGGGUGGUUAGAAGGAGAGGGGAGAGCAGUCCAGCAGAAAGAAGAGCUAAAGCAAAGUUGAAGAGGAAGCUGCUGACUGCCAUGGGGUCAUCUGGGCAAGGGUCUCUCACACUAGGUGGGGAGGGAGUAGAGGGGGAACGGGAAGAGACCUCUGUGGGGUUUAUGCAUAAUUUCAAGCACAUAUGUAGAUAGAAUAGUAAAGGGAUACAUAUGUAAGAGCUCCUUUGAGCAGGCAUUCCACGAGACACUGAACCACCACCACCAGGCCUCCGUCUAAAACAAUGUCCACCUGACGUUUCUUUCAACCCCUCCCCCACCUACCUGACCAGUUUUUGGUCCCUGUGCUUUUGCCUUUGCCGCAGAGUGUCACACACCAGGACCCUUGCCACCUGUGGCCUUUUGCUCCCCACCCCCACCCCAUUCUGAGGCCCCUGCGGUUGGCUGGUCCACUGGGUCACUCGGCACCGGUCCCUUCACUGCUACAUAAGAACCGGGAAGUGAUGCUUAGUACUAAGUGAUGCUCAGUACUCCUCUGCCAACUGCACAGGGGUGGGCCAGAAGUAAACAGGGAUUAGGGACCCUGCACUGGUCCCAAGGACGGUGACAACAUGGCUGUUGUUCCUGGUCCUAAGCUCUGCCCCCAGAUCCCCAUGACUAGGAGGUGUCCAUGGAGCUACCUGAACAUUGUGGACACUUUGACCCUUUGUUCCACUGCAGCCAUCCAGAGAAGAAGUGAAGACAUUCUAAAGGCACUGUUGUGUCUCUCCAAAAGACAGACUGUUGAAACAAUAGACCCCGAGGAAGUAGGAAUUUCCCCAGGAAUUUCCUGCCGGGAGAAGGAAAAGGCUCGAGCCACAGGGAACUUGCCAGCUGUCAGAACACUGCAGAUGGAGACUGAAGCCCAGACAAUGACGGUCUACAGUAAGCAGGGAAGCAGGACCACACCUUGUCUGGCACUGCUUGGAUGCGCUCAUCCUUGGCCCUCAAUUUAAACUUUGAUCCCACUAAGAUCCUGAAGGCUUAAGGGUUUGCUGGAGCUCUUUAUCACGGUGCCACAUUGAAUAAAUCCUUUUUUUUCCUC
rnacentral:sRNA from 1 species